CUACAAUAUAAAAAUUUAAAAAUGUAAUACCCUACAGCCGUCUCGGAAUAGCUGUCGAAUUAUUUUAUAAGGAAUCAUAAUUUUACGAACAUAUUUUAAAACGUUUUUGUAUAAUAUUUAAGUAAUUCAUACAUUCUUGAAAAAAAUACACUAGUAGAAAAUAAUUACCGUUAAGCGGGUUUCUUGCUAUUGUACGAAUAGAACAGCUGAACAACUAACGGUUACAUGAUUCCUAAGUUAGAUAAUUACAAAAAUCAAGCCUAUAAAUAUAUUUCUUUGGUAAUGAAUUUUAUAAAACUUUAGCGGACUUACAUAUGUAUAUGUAGAUAUAUAUAACGAAAACUGGUAUGCAUGUAUCGAUAACACUCAGAACGUCUACUGUAGGGUAACAAUACAAACGCAUAAAAGCUCCGAGUUUGCAAAAUAUUUAUUUCGACAACGACAGCCACGGUCUGCACAAGUGCUGUAAUUGUUUGUGCUUAUUUGAAACUCAGUUAAAAAAUUUCCAAAAAAAUUAAAAUGAAAUUAGCGAUUUUAUUAAUAUUUUGUUUAAUGCAAAUAUUUCUAAUUGGAGGCCAAAUAAAUGAAGAGCCCUCACCAAAUGUUUCUGGUGGUCAAAAGUAUUCUAUUAUAUUACAAGCACAUGAACUCACAAAACCAGCACGAACUCAUACUGGUAAACCAAUUGAACAACUAAAACAGGAAAAUAAUACUGAGAGACCAUGGUUAUAUCGAGUUUUUAACAUAUGAGCAACAAGCGAGAUGUAAUAAAAUAUAAAAAUAAUAAAAGUAUUUGACUCUUGCAAGAGAAACAACCAA